CGAAACGAGCUCGUAUCAGUUGGUAUCAGAGCUAGUUAAUUUAGGUACGUAAAUUGUAGAUUCAAAAAAAAUCAAAAAAAAUCGAGAAAAAAAAUUGAAAAAAAAUUUUGAAAAAAAAAUUGCAUACGGUCUAGGUGCAGACGAAAAGAAUGUGAAAGAUCCGUAAAAAAAAAAGUCUGGAGACACUUCAACAAAAUUUUUUCUAAAAUCACAUUCUACACUCCUUUAUACCCAUUUUAGUGAAUUUUCACGCUAUUAAAAAAAAAUUCCCAAUUAGUGAAUCCAUUUUAUACGCC
rnacentral:lncRNA from 1 species